GACGAACGCUGGCGGCGUGCCUAAUACAUGCAAGUCGAACGCAGUGGGGACGGGAGAGUAACACGUGGGUAACCUCCCAUCAGAGGGGAUAACACUUGGAAACAGGUGCUAAACCGAUACUGAUGGAUGGACCCGCGGUGCAUUAGCUAGUUUGGGAGGUAACGGCUCUCCAAGGUCACGAUGCAUAGCCGACCUGAGAGGGUGUGCGGCCACACUGGGACUGGUGCACGGCCCAGACUCCUCCGGGAGGCAGCAGUGGGGAAUCUUCGGCAAUGGCCGGAAGUCUGACCGAGCAACGCCGCGUGAGUGAAGAAGGUUUUCGGAUCGUAAGACUCUGUUGUUAGAGAAGCGGUAUCUAACCAGAAAGCCACGGCUAACUACGUGCCAGCAGCCGCGGUAAUUC
rnacentral:rRNA from 1 species